UACGAAGGGGGCUAGCGUUGCUCGGAAUCACUGGGCGUAAAGCGCACGUAGGCGGGUCUCUAAGGCAGGGGUGAAAUCCUGGAGCUCAACUCCAGAACUGCCUUUGAUACUGGGGAUCUCGAGUCCGGGAGAGGUGAGUGGAACUCCGAGUGUAGAGGUGAAAUUCGUAGAUAUUCGGAAGAACACCAGUGGCGAAGGCGGCUCACUGGCCCGGUACUGACGCUGAGGUGCGAAAGCGUGGGGAGCAAACAGG
rnacentral:rRNA from 1 species